CAAGAACUAUUACAUGAUAUUAUUAUUAAUCUCUCUCUUCCCUUUUGUCCCGUCCAUGAUAAUUAUUGUUGUUAUUUAACAAUUGUAGACAUGAGCUCAUGUUAAAAUGAAUAAAUAGGGAAUAAAAUGGUAAUAACCUUAUAUAUUCUCGAGCGAAAUAGACGAGGCCACCUAGGGAACACAUGAAGUUACGUAGGAGCAGUGAUGAGAAUGAAAUGACUAAUAAUAUUAAGAAAGACAUUAAUAAUGUUAAUAUUAGCAAUUAAUUUGUGUAAUUUAUUAUGAUAACUAUACUGCUAUGUACAUGAUAUAAUGUUAAUGUGUUAAUAUGUUUUAAAUGUGUGUUGUCCUUAUACCGUGUCUAGGUCAGUCUCCCCGGCGCGCGCGCACAGACAUAUGUAGUCAAAUCGGAGGAGCGAGCCAUAAGAUCUGUUAUGACGUCACGUUCAGAGUUCUGCGGCGUUGUGCUGGAUGGAGCUUGACUGCCCUCGUGUGUCCAAACUCAGGAACGGCAGUUUCCCUCAAGGGGUAUUCUGUUCCAAGUUUUGUGGUAGUUAGCCAAGAAAUAUUACGAUUACUAUUACUCUCUCUCUCCCCCUUUUUAAACCCGUUCAUGAUAAUUAUUGUAUACAUUACCUUUAUUUUUGUAAUGUUCUUCCCUAUUUGUGGAUAUUCUCGAGUGAAAUAGACGAGGCCAUGUAGUUACCUAGGAGCAGAGUCUAAAAUAUCUUUUUGAAGAACCUCAAACUAUUAUCAUUUGCUAUACUAUUGAUCAUUACGUUACAUACAUCUUAUUCGUAUAUGGAAAGUACUUAAUGAAGAUAAUAUACUUUAGAUUUUUUUAUGUAACCAUUCAAGUAUUUGUUGAAAUGCUUUUGUUACUGAUAAAUACAUGUACAUUUAAAUUGAUUUUGUUCUGUCUGUGAUUUUGUAGAUCUGGAUGUUCAGCUGGUCUCAGAUCAAGCAUCCUCCUCUGUACUGACUCCACUAUCCCCAGCUUCAUCCUAUUCAUUAGAUUCCACAAUUGUCCUGGAGUCCACACGAAAGAGUAGGAACCCAACAGGGUUAAUGGAGCAGAAUGAAGCAAGACAGGUAAGCUUUGAAUAAAUGCAUUUAAAAUCCUCAAUUACGUAAUUGUUUAUUAUUGAUACUUAUCUGUAGAAGUGUUUUGUAAAUGUAUUCUCGACAUAAAGGAAAGGCAUUAAAAAUCCUCUUAAAUUUCCAUGAGCAUGUCAUAACGAUGUAAGAUGUUUUGACAGAAAGUUGAUUGUGUUCUGAGGGCCAAUCCAAAGGGUGAGGAAAUCUUCAAGGAGUAUGAAAAGACCAAAACACUAACAUGUCUGCAACCAGGACGUUCACCAUCUGUUUACGUGUGGCAUAUGUUAGAGCUACAUGGGAUGAUUCCAUGGUCAAGUGUGAAGACCAAUUAUGCACUGGGAAUUGUGACACUUUUUCCAUACCUCCAAGAUCCUUUCUCCAAACAUGGAUAUGAACACUACUAUGAUCCUUUAGGGUAAUACUGGCUUCAUUGCAUGCAGGAUCAAGACAGUUCAACAUAACACCUGUGCUGGCUCCCGGUGUUAUUCCAAGACUGUUCUUCAGGAUGGUCCAAAAAACAGACAAGAAUCUCUCUUAACUUGUCAACAGCGAUUUGGUGAGGAGUGCAGGGAGGCGAUAUCUACAAUACGACAUUUCACUGAUGAGAAGAUGAGCGACUUUCCAGUAUUGACCGAAGAUGGUCGGUGAGGAUGCAUCAUCUUCAGUCCUGGAUUUGUUCACUCGUUUCCUUGCUGUAUCCGGAUUGAUCGACCACUAUUUCUCCAUGAUGUUUGGUGACGAAGUGUCCAAGAAGUUCCUGGCAAAGUGGUCAAUAUUCUUCAAGCCAAACAUCAUUGCAGACUGCAAGACUCUUAAGAAUAUGGGCGAGCUGCUGUCAGGAACUGAACCUGAAUCUGAGGACUACAAUGCGACAUGUCCUCAAUCCUUUUGCAGCUGCAUCUGCUCCCUCUAACCUCAAGAGGCCAGAAAAAAAUAUCCAAGAUCAGUUCAGCUCAAGCAACCAGCCAUCUUGUGAGCUGUCUUAAGGAAGGAGCCAGUGUGAAUACCUUCAUUGAGAGUGCUGACACAAGACAACCAUUUCUCCUCUGCAUCGGUGAGCGAAAGAAGGAUAUCCCAAAGUUCUACGUUAUUAUCGACCAAAAGGCGAUCCCAUGUAAGGCGCACACAUCAGUGGCAGCUUUUGAUGAACUGUUCAAAGCUCACUAUGUCUUCAGUUUCUGAUAUGAUGAAGCUCUUUGUGAUUUCUACACAUUUAUCCAAACCACUAUAUAUAACAUCGAUGUCGGAAGAGCAAUGGAGAGCCUGCGUGUUAAAGAACUUCGAGCAUGAUUGCUGCAGCGAGAUUAACCGCCUUGAAGAUGUUCACAUGUUUUGUAUGUAAAGCACACCUUAGAACUUGUUUGGUUC